UACGAAGGGGGCUAGCGUUGCUCGGAUUUACUGGGCGUAAAGGGCGCGUAGGCGGCGGGUCAAGUCGAGUGUGAAAGCCCCGGGCUCAACCUGGGAAUUGCGCUCGAGACUGGUCUGCUUGAGUUCGGGAGAGGAGCGUGGAAUUCCCAGUGUAGAGGUGAAAUUCGUAGAUAUUGGGAAGAACACCGGUGGCGAAGGCGGCGCUCUGGACCGAGACUGACGCUGAGGCGCGAAAGCGUGGGGAGCAAACAGG
rnacentral:rRNA from 1 species